rnacentral:tRNA from 1 species
GCCUGGGUGGCUCAGUCGGUUAAGCAUCCGACUUCGGCUCAGAUCAUAAUCUCGCAGUUUGUGAGUUUGAGCCUCACAUCGGGCU